AUGGCAUCCACCUCCCGCCCCACCCUGCCCUUUGCCUUGGCCCUCCUCUAUGACCCAACUGCAGCCGGCGCCAUCGCCGCUGGCGUUGAGCUGCCCAUAUCCAGGUCCACCCUGCCGAUCCCCUUCGCCGUCGCAGAGGCAGCGGGAGUGCCUCCACCCACCGCAGACCCCUCCUCCUCUUCCUCCACCCCAGCCAAACUGCUUGGCACAUCGAUCGAUCUGCCGGCGUUCCUCUACCCGUCCACCAAGAGCAUCGAGCCCCGGAACUUCAAGCAGGCUCAGGCCUUUGUGCGCUUCCAGACGUACAGGCCGGAGCUCGGCCCGCUGCCGGAGCCCUCGCCCGACGACCGCCCAACAAGCGCCAUCGUCUACCCGGCCAGCUUCGGUCAGGCCGACUCCCUCGACUCCCUGCUCGCCUCCCACGUCUACGACAAGGAGGGCGUGGUGGCAGUCAUCAAGAGGCACGAAGGCCCCAUCCGCAUCAUCCUCCACCAGAUCCAGAUCUCAUCUGCGCCGGAGGUCCUCACCCUGAUCGGCGCCAAGGUGGAUAUCGGCUGGGCCUUCUCUCCCGGUACCAUGGUCCUUGGUUGGAUCAGCAACAUUUCCAAGAAGAUGCGAGAUCUGGAGACUGUUGAUCUCCCCAUGCUGGCGGCACAUCCGAAUGACAAGACUGCAGCUGAUAGGUGUCUCCGUCGUCUGAAUGUCAUCAAAGACAACAUGAAGAAGGCUAAGAGGGCUGUCCAAGGGCGAGUGACUGUACCAACUGACCAGCUCAACGAGAUCUCCCGUGCUGUCAAGAGGCUGCAUCAGAAGAAAGAGCAUAACCUGCAGUACCUUGAGGACAGACUGCCUGAGUUUGUGCAGAUUCUGCAGGCUGUCCAGACUAGGGUGGUGGUGUUUAACUUGAAAACUAUCUCGAAACAUUGA
rnacentral:rRNA from 1 species